GCGAGCGGCGCGUGCGGGCAACCCACGUUUUGGACAGAACACUAGAGAGGAGAGUGGUGACGCGAAGCUGGGGGCGGGAGCGUGGAGCUUCUGAAGCCGAGGGUAGAGCCCUGGAGCCUGGCCAACAGGCAGUGGCAAGACAACAUUCAUCAGUGAGUAUGCCCUGGACUUGUGUACCCAGGGAGUGAACACACUGUGGGGUAGCUUUGAGAUCAGCAAUGUGAGACUAGCCCGGGUCAUGCUGACUCAGUUUGCUGUGACACGGCUAGAAG
rnacentral:lncRNA from 1 species